rnacentral:rRNA from 1 species
UACAGAGGGUGCUAGCGUUGUUCGGAAUUACUGGGCGUAAAGGGCUCGUAGGUGGCCAACUAAGUCAACCGUGAAAUCCCUCGGCUUAACCGGGGAACUGCGCUUGUUACUGGCAAGCUAGAGUGUGGCAGAGGGGGGUGGAAUUCCACGUGUAGCAGUGAAAUGCGUAGAGAUGUGGAGGAACACCGAUGGCGAAGGCAGCCCCCUGGGCUAACACUGACGCUCAUGCACGAAAGCGUGGGGAGCAAACAGG